rnacentral:rRNA from 1 species
AGCGAACGCUGGCGGCAGGCCUAACACAUGCAAGUCGAACGAACUCUUCGGAGUUAGUGGCGGACGGGUGAGUAACACGUGGGAACGUGCCUUUAGGUUCGGAAUAACUCAGGGAAACUUGUGCUAAUACCGAAUGUGCCCUUCGGGGGAAAGAUUUAUCGCCUUUAGAGCGGCCCGCGUCUGAUUCGCUAGUUGGUGGGGUACUGGCUCACCAAGGCUACGAUCAGUAGCUGGUCUGCGAGGAUGACCAGCCACAUUGGGAAUGAGAAACGGCCCAAACUCCUCCGGGAGGCAGCAGUGGGGAAUCUUGCGCAAUGGGCGAAAGCCUGACGCAGCCAUGCCGCGUGGAUGAUGAAGGUCUUAGGAUUGUAAAAUCCUUUCACCGGUGAAGAUAAUGACUGUAGCCGGAGAAGAAGCCCCGGCUAACUUCGUGCCAGCCGCCGCGGUAA